AGAACGAACGCUGGCGGCGUGCUUAACACAUGCAAGUCGAACGUGAUUGAGAGCUUGCUCUCAUGAAAGUGGCGCACGGGUGAGUAACACGUGGAUAAUCUGCCUGGCGAUUCGGGAUAACACUUCGAAAGGGGUGCUAAUACCGGAUAAGCCCACAGUCUCUUUGGAGAGUGCGGGAAAAGGGGGCCUCUGUAUAUGCUCCUGUCGCUAGAUGACGUCCGCGGCCAUUAGCUAGUGGUAGGUAAUGGCCUACAAGGCGACGAUGGGUAGCUGGUCUGAGAGGAUGAUCAAGCCACGACUAGGAACUGAAGACGACGGUCCAGACCUCCGUAACGGGAGCAGCAGGUUCGGGUAAUUUCGGCGACAGUGGACGAAAGCC
rnacentral:rRNA from 1 species